rnacentral:rRNA from 1 species
GACGAACGCUGGCGGCGUGCUUAACACAUGCAAGUCGAACGGAAAGGCCCCUUUGGGGGUACUCGAGUGGCGAACGGGUGAGUAACACGUGAGUAACCUGCCCUUGACUUCGGGAUAACUGCCGGAAACUGGGGCUAAUCCCGGAUAGGAAUCCUUGCUGCCUGGUGGGGGUUGGAAAGCUUCGGCGGUUUUGGAUGGACUCUCGGCUUAUCAGGUUGUUGGUGGGGUAGUGGCUUACCAAGGCUUUGACGGGUAGCCGGCCUGAGAGGGGGACCGGCCACAUGGGGACUGAGAUACGGCCCAGACUCCGACGGGAGGCAGCAGUGGGGAAUAUUGCAAAAUGGGCGGAAGCCUGAUGCAGCAACGCCGCGUGCGGGAUGACGGCCUUCGGGUUGGAAACCGCUUUCAGCAGGGGCGAAGCUUGUGGUGACGGUACCUGCAGAAGAAGCACCGGCUAACUACGUG